rnacentral:rRNA from 1 species
AUGGAAUUGGAGCCCAAUGGUGAUGAUAAUAAGGUCCACCCCAAGUCCCUCCGUAACUUCUUCAAGCGAGCCAAGAAGAAGAUCGAUGUGGCGAAGGUAAUCGAAAAGGGGGGCAAGCACCGAGGUGAGAAGGAGAUGGUCGAUGUGUUGAUGUUACUAGCAACCUUUGCGGUCACAAUCACAUAUGUCGCCGGGCUGAGCCCACCUGGUGGGUUCUGGACCAGCACCCAGGACGGCCAUCGUUUGAGUGACCCGGUGUUACAAGCUCGUAACCGGUACCGCGUCUUCUUCAUUUGCAACACCACUUCGUUUGCUGUGUCUCUGCUCAUCAUCGUGUUGCUCCUGGAGAAGAAGCUGCUUGGGGAGUUGCUUUUCAAGGGAAAGAAGCUUUUCGAGGGAAAGAAGGCAGACUGGCUUGAUUCUGUCUUAACACCGUUCAAAAAAAUGGUUAAGAUUCCUUCAGGUACAUCUAGAGGCACGAAAGUUGUCCUACAUGAACAGAACACUCGUGAUCUUGUUAUGCUCCUUGCUACUCUUGUGGUGACAAUCACUUACCAAGCAGGACUAGAUCCACCUGGUGGCCUUUGGCUAGAUGACCGAGAUGGUCAUAAUAUCGGUCACCCGGUGCUCCAAACGACACAUCCUACUAGGUACAGAGUGUUCUUCUAUAGCAACUCAGCAGCUUUUGUCACAUCCUUGGUCGUCAUUAUGAUGCUCCAGAGCAAGUUUCUACUCAACCGGCACACACUAGAAGCAGCCCUGGUGCUUGACCUAUUCGGCCUCAUCACUACCUAUGGCGCCGGGAGCACUAGGGAGGCAACCCAAUCCGUCUACAUCGUCGCCUUGGCAGGAAUUGUCCUAGUCUAUGUCAUCGUCCAUAUCACCAUUAGAGAUCAUGACCCUGAGCCAGUGGGUGAUCAUGCAGUAAAGCAUCUCGAUGACAAGCGCAAGGUACUGUUGCUGGUUGCUAUCUUGGCCGCUACCCUCAUAUACCAAGCUGGCCUCACCCCGCAAGGUGGCUUCUGGUUAGCAGAUGACCGAGAGCUCGGUCGCUGUGCGGGUUUCCCAAUCCUCCUUGACAAUUACACUCGCCGUUACAACACAUUCUUCUACUGCAACGCAGCGAGCUUCAUGGCGUCUGUAACCCUCAUCCUUCUUCUUGUCAAUCCUAAGCUAUACAGGCCAGGCAUACGCUGCCGUGCCAUCUAUGUGUGCAUGCUGGUGGGCAUGUUUGGCCUCAUGGGUGCCUACGCUGCUGGAAGCUCCCGGAAUCUCAAGACCUCCGUCUAUGUAUUAAUCUUGGUUGGUGCAGUGCUAGCCUUCAUUGCCUCGCUGCUAGCCAUUUUGUUGUUGGUGCCUUAUCUCAAAUCCCAAGGAUGUAGAGUUUUCUGCUUCGUCCCUUUUGGCCAAUCUCAAAAAGGUACAGAUAGGCAAGUUGAAGCAGGUCAUAGCAGCAGCAAAUCCCAUGAAGAUACAGAUGAGCAACUUGAAGCAGGUCAUAGCAGCAACAAAUCCCAUGAAGGUACAGAUGAGCAACUUGAAGCAGGUCAUAGCAGCAACAAAUCCCAUGAAGUUACAGAUGGGCAAGUUGAUGCAACUCAUAGCAGCGGCAACAAAAAUAGCAGCGAAAAGAAAGAAAAACUGCAAUACUUGAUGCUGCUAGGGAUCCUGGCUGCAAGUAUGACAUAUCAGACUGGCCUAAAACCACCGGGCGGCCUAUGGCAGGACAACAAUGAUGGGCACUAUGCUGGCAACCCCAUUCUCCAUGACAUCAACAAGAACCGGUACAAUGCUUUCUUCUACAGCAACUCCGCCUCCUUCAUGGCCUCAAUUGUGGUCGUCGUCAUGCUACUUUCAUUGACAUUGUUCCCUGAGAAAUACACAACAAAGUCAUCCAAGAAAGACACAAAGUCAACCGGCAAGGACACGAAGUCGCUCGACAAAAUCACGAAGCCGGCCAAGAAAGACCCGAAGCUGACCGAUAAAGACAAGGAGUCGCCCGAAAAAGACACAUGGCCACUCUGGCCGAUGCAUACGGCCAUCUUGCUGAACAUGAUGGGCCUCCUGGUGGCAUACGCAGCAGGCAGUACUAGGAAAUGGGAAACAUCCAGGAACAUCAUGGUCCUCAUCGUUCCUCUGUUGGCCUACAUUGGGCUCUACGCAGCGUUGUCGGUCCUCCGCCAUAGAGAAGAAGAGCCCACAGCCCCCCAACCUACGGUGCAGCCGUUGAAUCAUUGCAAGACAUGUAGGAGGAACUGCGGGUGUGUAAAUUUGCAACCGAGUUAG